AACGAACGCUGGCGGCAGGCUUAACACAUGCAAGUCGAACGCCCCGCAAGGGGAGUGGCAGACGGGUGAGUAACGCGUGGGAACGUACCUUUCGCUUCGGAAUAGCCCCGGGAAACUGGGUGUAAAACCGGAUACGCCGUAUUGGGAAAGAUUUAUCGGCGAAAGAUCGGCCCGCGUUGGAUUAGCUAGUUGGCGGUGUAAUGGACCACCAAGGCGACGAUCCAUAGCUGGUCUGAGAGGAUGAUCAGCCACACUGGGACUGAGACACGGCCCAGACUCCUACGGGAGGCAGCAGUGGGGAAUCUUGGACAAUGGGGGCAACCCUGAUCCAGCCAUGCCGCGUGAGUGAAGAAGGCCUUAGGGUUGUAAAACUCUUUCGCCGGUGAAGAUAAUGACGGUAGCCGGAGAAGAAGCCCCGGCUAACUUCGUG
rnacentral:rRNA from 1 species